rnacentral:rRNA from 1 species
UACGUAGGGUGCAAGCGUUGUCCGGAAUUAUUGGGCGUAAAGAGCUCGUAGGCGGUUUGUCGCGUCUGCUGUGAAAACCCGAGGCUCAACCUCGGGCCUGCAGUGGGUACGGGCAGACUAGAGUGCGGUAGGGGAGAUUGGAAUUCCUGGUGUAGUGGUGGAAUGCGCAGAUAUCAGGAGGAACACCGAUGGCGAAGGCAGAUCUCUGGGCCGUAACUGACGCUGAGGAGCGAAAGCAUGGGGAGCGAACAGG